UACGAAGGGGGCUAGCGUUGCUCGGAAUCACUGGGCGUAAAGCGCACGUAGGCGGGCUCUUAAGUCGGUGGUGAAAUCCUGGAGCUCAACUCCAGAACUGCCUUCGAUACUGGCGAUCUUGAGUCCGGAAGAGGUGAGUGGAACUCCUAGUGUAGAGGUGGAAUUCGUAGAUAUUAGGAAGAACACCAGUGGCGAAGGCGGCUCACUGGUCCGGUACUGACGCUGAGGUGCGAAAGCGUGGGGAGCAAACAGG
rnacentral:rRNA from 1 species